CUCACAGUUUGCACUGGCAGUCUUGUUAGAGUUCCCGACUUGACUCGCUGGCAACUAACAACAGGGGUUGCGCUCGUUAUAGGACUUAACCUGACACCUCACGGCACGAGCUGGCGACAGCCAUGCAGCAUCUGUGGUGCACCCUCGAAGGUCGCACGUUUCCGUGCGCUUGCAGCACCAUGUCAAGCCCAGGUAAGGUUCUUCGCGUUGCAUCGAAUUAAUCCGCAUGCUCCGCCGCUUGUGCGGGCCCCCGUCAAUUCCUUUGAGUUUCGGUCUUGCGACCGUACUCCCCAGGCGGAGUGUUUCACGCGUUAGCUGGGCCCCUGAUCCACGUAGACCAAGGGCGAACACUCAUCGUUUACGGCAUGGACUAC
rnacentral:misc_RNA from 1 species